rnacentral:lncRNA from 10 species
GCCUCUUCCUUCAUAAGCAUUUGGAUCUGUAUGCGGAUUGCCCUGACUGUUAUCCCUUAAUGCAAGCAGAAGAAGUGCAUCUGACAGGAAGUGCCACACAGAUGAUCACAUCUGCAGAACAGCAAACAUGUCACAAUAAAUUUAAGACUUGGAGUGACAAGAAAAGCAUUACCUCAUUUCUUAUCUUUUUAAGAUACCUUCACUAUUUUUCCUAUAAAUUGAUGUAACUGAGGCAGACGGAGACUGAAGUGGGCCAAGUUUGCACCACUGCACUCCAGCCUGGGCAUCAGAGUGAGACUCCAUCUCAAAAAAAAAAAAAGAAACAAUAAAGAAAAUUUUAUAUGAAAACCUAAUAGCCACAUAAAUAGGAUACUUUAAGUUAGGCAACUGUUAACAAAACCAGAAUCAGUGUUGGUUUUUUUGAGACGGAGUUUCACUCUUGUUGCCCAGGCUACAGUGCAAUGGCGCAGUCUCGGCUCAUUGCGAUCACCGCCUCCUGGGUUCAAGCAAUUCUCCUGCCUCAGCCUCCCAAGUAGCUGGGAUUACAGGCAGACACCACCACACUUGGUGAAUUUUGUACUUUUAGUAGAGACGGGGUUUUGCCAUGUUGCUCAGGCUGGUCUUGAACUCCUGAUCUCAGGUGAUCCACGCACCUUGGCUUCCCCAAGUGCUGGGAUUACAGGCAUGAGCCACCGUGCCCAGCCCAGAAUCAGUUUUUAAAUGUACCUUCCCCCCCUGAAAUGCAUUAAUGUCUUUUCAAAGAUAAAAGAGAGAAAAUUUAUUUAUGUUUGGAGAAGAGGUCCUUUCUGCUUUGGAAACAGUAUAAAUUAAUAAAGGCUUCAAUUAUUUUUGUUUCUUUCCCCUGUGUAUAAGCAGAUGAAAAAUAUUUUUUUCUAAAAUAAUUGCUGGGUGUAGUGGCUCACACCUGUAAUCCUAGCACUCUGGGAGGCUGAGGCAGGUGGAUCACCUGAGGUCGGGAGUUUGAGACCAGCCUGGCCAACAUGGUGAAACCCCGUCUCUACUAAAAAUACAAAAAAUUAGCCGGGCAUGGUGGCAGGCACCUGUAAUCCCAACUACUUGGGAGGCUGAGGUAGGAGAAUCACUUGAACCCGGGAGGCGGAGGUUGCAGUGAGCCGAGAUCGCAGUAUUGCACUCCAGCCUGCGCGAUAAAAGCGAAACUCCGUCUAAAAAAAAAAAAAAGAAGAAGGCUGGGCGCGGUGGCUCACGCCUGUAAUCUCAGCACUUUGGGAGGCUGAGGUGGGUGGAUCUCCUGAGGCCGGGAGUUCAAGUCCAGCCUGACCAACAUGGAGAAAACCCAUCUCUACUAAAAAUACAAAAUUAGCUGGCGUGGUGGCACACGCCUGUGAUCCCAUCUACUUGGGAGGCUGAGGCAGGAGAAUGGCUUGAACCCAGGAGGCAGAGGUUGCGGUGAGCCGAGAUCACGCCAUUGCACUCCAGCCUGGGCAACAAGAGCUAGACUCCGCCUCAAAAAAAAAAAAAAAAAAAUCAAGAAAAAAAGUUUCUAUUUUCUUUCAGAAGACAAUAAAAUUCAGUACAACCAGAAUACUAAAUAGAAAUUAUGUUUUGGUACAAAAUAAUAAAAAAUACAGACAUAAAGCAAAAACAACUAUAGUAGCAGCAAAAGUCAACUUCACAUUGUAUGAAAGCUGACCCACUUGAAGACAGAGGCAGAAAUAUAAACAAUCACCUUUCUUUACAAUGCUGAUUAAUGUUCAUUAAUCACUUUUAAUCUGAAAAUUCAGAGCACACAUCAAUUUCCAAGUCUAAAAUAGGCCUACUCAUACCUUUAUUUGCUCACCCUAUCUUUUACUGAAUUGCAAAUUUAAAUUCAAGUUCAUAAACAGAUCUAUGAAUCAUAACAAACUCUGUAACUAUAAUUUAUAAAAAUGCAAGCAAUCAAAUUUUAUGUAGCAAUUUACAUAAAGUAAAAGCAACAUGCACAUGGAGCAUACUUUUAUAAACUAUUUCUUAAAUAAAAUUAUAAAAGAAGAGGAAGAACAGCCUAUUACCCACCAAACGGGGUUACUACUGUAAUAUGAGAGGUAAUAUUGGUAGCUGAGGAAUCCCAGGCAGUGAUGGCU